rnacentral:tRNA from 1 species
GACCGCGUAGCUCAGUUGGAAGAGCAUUGGGCUAGCAUUCCAAAGGUCGUAGGUUCGAAUCCGACCGUGGCCG